UACGGAGGGUGCGAGCGUUAAUCGGAAUUACUGGGCGUAAAGCGCACGUAGGCGGCCUGUUAAGCUGGAUGUGAAAGCCCCGGGCUCAACCUGGGAAUGGCCUCCAGAACUGGCAGGCUAGAGUACGGUAGAGGGUGGUGGAAUUUCCUGUGUAGCGGUGAAAUGCGUAGAUAUAGGAAGGAACAUCAGUGGCGAAGGCGGCCACCUGGACUGAUACUGACGCUGAGGUGCGAAAGCGUGGGGAGCAAACAGGAUUAGAUACCCU
rnacentral:rRNA from 1 species